CAUCCAGCCCCCGCCCCCUCCCAGCCCCAUCCCAGGCUCCCAGGGAGAGGAUAAGAGGGGCCUGGCAGAGCCCGGACCCAGCUGGUUCUCUCUGGGGAGCAGAGCUCUCGGGGUCCCCUGCACCAUGACCUGGCCUCUCGUCUGCCUCCUCCUACUCACCUGCUGCUCAGGUUCCUUCUCCCAGCUUGUGCUGACUCAGGCUCCCUCCAUGUCUGUGUCCCUGGGAGCCACGGCCAGACUCACCUGCACCCUGGACAGUCAGCACAGCAAUUAUAGAAUUCGUUGGCACCAGCAGAUCCCAGGAAAGGCUCCUCGGUACCUCUUGUAUGUCCGUAGCAAUGGAGAUGUUGGCAAGGGCGAGGGGGUCCCCGACCGCUUCUCGGGCUCCAGCUCUGGGGCCAAUCGCUACUUGUCCAUCAGCAACAUCCAGCCUGAGGAUGAGGCCCAUUACUACUGUGGGGCAGUUUGUUGUAGUAAUUUUGAGUAUUCACAGUGCUACAUUCAGCGAGGAAGUGGGACAAAAACCCCCCUGCCAGCCCAGCCCCCGCCCCACAGCUGGCCUGGACUUUUGGCCCAGCCCCAGCUGCUAAAGGGCCCCAAGGUUGUGCUUCCUGUUUCUGUGUCUGUCUCAAAGCUCCAUGUCUACGACUUGCCCAAGAACACACUGAGAUAAGUCCCAGAAAUGGACCCUGUCUCCCAUGAGCACU